AUGGGGGUCCUAAGAGCCGGGGGGGGAAGAGGGGCUGGCUCUCAGUCCCCGCCUCGCGGGAGGUGCCUCCCCCCACUGCGAUGGGGGUCCCAAGAGCCAGGGAGGGAAGAGGGGCUGGCUCUCAGUCCCCGCCUCGCGGGAGGUGCCUCCGCCCCUUCCGAUGGGGGUCCCAAGACCCAGGGAGGGGAGAGGGGCUGGCUCUCAGUCCCCUCCUCCCGGGGGUACCUCCUCCGCCUGCGAUGGGGGUCCCAAGAGACAGGGGGGGAAGAGGGGCUGGCUCUCAGUCCACGCCUCGUGGGGGAUGCCUCCCCCCCCUGCGAUUGGGGUCCCAACAGCCAGCGGGGGAAGAGGGGCUGGUUCUCAGUCCCCGCCUCGCGGGGGAUGCCUCCCCGUGCUGCGAUGGGGGUCCUAAAAGCCAGGGGGUGAAAAGGGGCUGGCUCUCAGUCCCCACCUCGCGAGGGGUGCCUCUCCCCCCUGCGAUAGGUGUCCUAAUAGCCAGGGGGGGAAGAGGGGCUGGCUGUCAGUCCCCACCUCGCGAGGGGUGCCUCUCCCCCCUGCGACAGGUGUCCUAAUAGCCAGGGGGGGAAGAGGGGCUGGCUGUCAGUCCCUGCCUCGCGGGUGGUCCUUCACCCCGCUGCGAUGGGGGUCCUAAGAGCAAGGGGGGGAAGUGGGGCUGGCUCUCUGUCCCCGCCUCGCCGGGGGUGCCUCGCACCCUUGCGAUGGGGGUCCUAAGAGCCAGUAGGGGAAGAGGAGCUGGCUCUCAGUCACCUCAGCAUGGAGGGCCUUUCUGUUCUGGUUUUGCCCAAGAGUAAGCUUAUUUGCAUCUGGUUCUAGCAAGGGAAUUGCUGCGAAGGCCCUCAAACAGGGGGGCCAUCCUUUCGAAUCCCUAUCUAGUUGUUUAGAGAUGUAGGCCACCGGCCUCAGCCAAGGCCCCACAGUUUGGGUUAAAAGUCCAGCUGCCAUCUUUUCUCUCUGACGCAUACAAUGGAAAAGGCUUUGUGAGAUCGGGUAGCCCCUCGGCUGGGGCUUUCAGAAGUUUUUCCUUUAAGUCAUGAAAGACUUGCUGUUGUUGGAAUCCCCAUUCCAAAAGUUCCCGGUCCCCGCCCCCAUUGUGACCUCAUACAAAGGCUUGGCUAAUACUGCAAAGUUUGGGAUUCCCAGUCUACAAAACCCCACAGCUCCUAGGAAUUCUCUCACCACCCUUGUGCCUUUAGGCUUCGGUAGAUUGCAAAUGACCUGCUUUCUUUCGGAUCCCGGGCUGCUUUCGGACACCUGUCGAAUAGUAAAUCCCAAGUAAGGUACCUGCGGUCGUCGGCAGAUCUGAAUUUUCUUCUUGGACACCUAAUACCCACAGCCCUCCAGAGACCGAGAGGUUGAUGUCACUCCCAAUAUCGGAGGAAGUAUACACCCCCGUGUGAGAUGGUCCUUAAUAAUAUUCCACGGCGGAGGGGGUGAUAUGACUACAUACAUGGCAGAAAGUGGAAACCUCCCAGGGAUAUUGUUCCCACGAUCCUGGAGGGAAGAAGAUGAUGUUACUUUCAAUAUGACAGAAGGUGGAUGAAGUGGUGGACUGCCCCUCCACACCUGUGGACACGCCCCCACUGAUAUUCCUUCUAAUUGCAGCGUGGGAGAGGAGGAUAUGACACGCGAUAUCGCAGGGAGUAGAAACACCCCUGUGAUACUGUUCUUAAUAUUCAGGGAGGAAGAGGAUGAUAUUACUCCCAAUACAGACGGGUGUACACCCUCUGUACACCGAGGGUGUACACCUGUCUGUGAAAGAAUGGACACGCCCCCACUGAUAUUGUUUUUAAUGCAGCGUGGGAGGGGAGGAUAUGACACGCGAUAUCGCAGCUGAGUGCCACGUGCUGACGUCACUAAGAUCAAUACAGCAAACUCUGAAAGAUGGACAGAGAGACAGGAGAUGGUCCUUUAUAAUGCAGUGUGAUCUGUGCUGCAAUAGAGUUUUGGAAGCUAGAAGUUCAAAACGAGGUGUUGGCAGCACCAUGCUCUCUCUGAAGAUGCUAGGAAGAAUCUGCUCCAUGCCUUUCCAUUCGCUCCUGGGGUUUCCUGCAAGCCCUGACAUUCCUUGGCUUGUAGAUGCAUCACCCCAGUUUCCGCCCCCAUCAUCACAUGGCCUCCUCUCUGUGUGUGCCUCUGCGUUCCCUCUAUUCUUCUUCUAAGGACACCGACACCAGUCAUAGUGGAUUAAGGGUCCACUCCUAACCAAUUACAUCUGCAACAACCCUAUUUCCAAAUAAAGUCACAUUCUAAGAU
rnacentral:lncRNA from 1 species